rnacentral:rRNA from 1 species
UACGUAGGGUGCGAGCGUUGUCCGGAAUUACUGGGCGUAAAGAGCUCGUAGGCGGUUUGUCGCGUCGGAUGUGAAAGCCCGGGGCUUAACCCCGGGUCUGCAUUCGAUACGGGCAGACUGGAGUGUGGUAGGGGAGAUCGGAAUUCCUGGUGUAGCGGUGAAAUGCGCAGAUAUCAGGAGGAACACCGGUGGCGAAGGCGGAUCUCUGGGCCAUUACUGAUGCUGAGGAGCGAAAGCGUGGGGAGCGAACAGG